AGCCCCGUAGUGAAGUUCAUAUAGGAUUGCAAAUCCUGAGAUGCAGAUGUUAGGUUUGCCGUGGCUU
rnacentral:tRNA from 1 species